UACGGGGGGGGCAAGCGUUGUUCGGAAUUACUGGGCGUAAAGGGCUCGUAGGCGGCCAACUAAGUCAGACGUGAAAUCCCCAGGCUCAACCUGGGAACUGCGUCUGAUACUGGAUGGCUUGAAUCCGGGAGAGGGAUGCAGAAUUCCAGGUGUAGCGGUGAAAUGCGUAGAUAUCUGGAGGAAUACCGGUGGCGAAGGCGGCAUCCUGGACCGGCAUUGACGCUGAGGAGCGAAAGCUAGGGGAGCAAACGAG
rnacentral:rRNA from 1 species